ACGCAUGCGCGUACUAUGAGACUGCAAUACGCAUGCGCGAGCUUCGCGUCUGCAGUACGUAUGCCCGAGCUUCGGGACGGUAGUACGUAUGCGUGCACGAGCCUCGAGACUACUACGUAUGCGCGAGAAAUGAGACGGCAGUACGCAUGAGCCACAUUAUUGACGGCAGCAGAUGAGUGACUACAUGAAUAGAAUCUGGAUAUAAAAAUGAAAUGAGCAUCUGGCACAGCGUCAAGUACAUUAUGUUGACUUUCACCUCUGAGCAUCUGAACAGCUAUUUGUCAUCUGACAUCCCUGACAACUCACACCUGAAAACAGAGGGAACUAGCACACAUUCUGCAUGGGGAAAAUUCACAAAAGCUGUCUCUGUGAACAACUACUCUGUUCUGACAAAAAGUUUAAGGAAGACUCCAAUACACUGUAGCCUAAGAUUUAGAAAACCCAGCCUACACUUUGCCUAGGUGUGGUUUUCAUCCCAUAUCACCUUGAAUAAGCCAUCAUUACGAGUUAGGUCUGAGUUUCUUAGAACCCACAGGUUUUUUGUUACCUUGAGACUAAAACAGACACAGUUGAGCAUCAUUUUUUAAAACACCUGAAAUACUUUAUCUUCAUUUUUCUGAGGCUCAAAUAUAAUUUUCUGUGUUUCAGAAGUUCCAGUAAAAAGUUGACUCCUGGUAAAUUCCUCUACAAACUGAACUAAUGUCUCAGAUUCUGCAAUAAACACAAUUUGCCAUUCUACACAUAACAGAUAAAAUACCUUUUUUCACCCCUGCUUUAAGCUGUUAAAUGGGUUUGGAGCGUUUGACCUUCAGAGUUUGCAUAAAAUGGAGCAUCUCGUAUGAACAGCCAGGUGAAUAGGAUGUCAAGUCACAGAAAAAAUCUUCAAGACAAAGAGAAACGAUACCAUAGCAUGACACUGCCUAACAAGGUAUUAGAGGAACUUCCUCACAUAGCUAAACAUACCAUCACUUGAAAAUCUAUGGGAUGGGUGAGGGACUUUAGAGUGUGGGACCAUGAUGGGAAGUUGGGAAAUUCUCAAAGCAUAAAAGCAGCACAAAAUGGCUGUAGAAUACACCACAGAGAUAAUCAAGAUAGUGAAUAGUGUACAUCCAGGACACACAGGUAUGUGCGCAGCUCAUCGCCCCACAGCCUUGUGCAGUCCAUGUUAAAGCCCAAAAUGAGGUGUUAAAACAAUUUAAGCUGAUCUGUUUCAAUACCACCAAGUCCCACCUUCCUCCCUCCCCACACAUGUACCAUAGCCCAGAACAGCCCACAUCCCACACUCCUCUCCAGGGCAUUCCUUAGCAUGACCCUCUGUUUCAGUGGUUACCAUUCGUCCUCCUCCAAGGGACACAGCUUGGCCAUUCACUGUGGUGACACCAAUAUGACGAGCAGCAAAUGGCGAUUUAUUGAAUCUCACACACACUUAUAUACUCUAUGCCCUUCGUGUACGCCUACUACAUUGUACACGUCAUAGCUCCUCCUAGAGUAGGGGAAGGGUCUAACGCGUCACAACCCGAGAAGCUCGCAUGCGCCUAAUACAACAACCCUCCUGCCCCAAACCCUUCACAAUGAGACCCAACCCAGAGCUCCUCCAGUAGGUUGGCUCGUGACAGACCAGCAAUAUAAAGCUGCUGAACCAUAUUUCCUGCGGAUAGGGUCUGUCCACCACCGCCACGCUGCACCCAGGGCCUAGCAUAUGUUCAGGGCUGCCUCCAGUCAAGGUCACACAAAACAUCCAUCGUCACAAAUGACUGUUUACUUAUAUGUGAGUUACAAAGGCAAACUUUACUAGCAAGAAAAGACAUACCUUCUACUUGUAGCUGCUCCAAUCGUAAAUACAAUGGUAUACAGGAAUAAGCAAAGCCAAGUCACCAAUAAAUUAUAAAAUACAUAUAACUUAGUGCUGAGACUGAUGUCUUUAUUAACAGUUUUUCCUUUAAAAAAAAAUGCUCCGUCUCCGAACAAACUCCUCCUCCUUCAGAUAGUUCUCUCGUUUUUUGUUUGUUUUCAAUUUUUGUCAAAAUCCUUUUCGUCAUUAAGUGUAGGUAAUGAGACAAGUAUUGUAAAUCACCUGCUAUGGAUGUUUUCCUUGAUCAGUGUAUGACCACUGCUAACACCUCACUGCAUUUUCCCUGAUCCCACCUGGGUUGUAGUUUAAAGACUGCCAGACACUGAAAAAUAUUAAAAGUCUUCAAUUAAAAAAAAUUAAAAGGGAGAGGGGAUUAAUCUCUGUAGCUCAAGAGUUUGCAGAGUACAGCUGCAUUUUCUUAACAAUAUUUAAGAAUUUUCUACCAUUACUCUCAUCACCCCCAGAUCAAAGUAACACAAUUCUUAAGUCCCUCUAUGAUACAGCAAACUCACAUGCAGCUAGAUAAAAUUAAAAAAAUCAAGGCAAGAUCUUUAAUUCAUUUCACAUCACUUCUUAAGAUAUCAGUGAAAAUCUGAGGUCACUCUCUUUCAGAUGACCCACACUGCAAACAUCUUUUUUGGUACAGUAUGUUAUGAAAAGGAAUUUUUGUUAUUGUAUUGUGCUGGCCUAACAUUAAAAUGUUAUUUUAUUAGCAUGCACCAUCAUUAACAUGUCUUAUAAGAUAUAAAAAUAUCUUAUAAGAUGAUGUUUUAAUGUUGGUGCAUGCCAGUAACAUGCAUUUCAUGCAGAGUAGACACUAGAAAACACUUACUAAAGGAUUAUGGAAAAAUUAUCCUCAGGGAUGUAACCAAUUCAAAUACUAUGAGUGGCUUUCAUUAGCAAAAAUCUAUGCCAAUGAACUAAUACAGUGUAUUAAGUUCAGAUAUAAGGCAGUUCUACAACUCAGUAAUCUAAACAAAAAAAAACCCUGCAAAAAUGACAUGAGAUUUGUAAUUAAGAGAUGUUUCUCAAAAAAAAAAAACCAGAAAGAAAAAGAAAAAAAGGAGGGGGCAGGGCAAACAAUUUAUUUUGGGUAGGAUUUAUUCAAGAUUCUC